CCUACGGGAGGCAGCAGUGGGGGAUAUUGCACAAUGGGGGAAACCCUGAUGCAGCGACGCCGCGUGGGUGAAGAAGCGCCUCGGCGCGUAAAGCCCUGUCAGCAGGGAAGAAAAUGACGGUACCUGAAGAAGACGCCCCGGCUAACUCCGGGCCAGCAGCCGCGGUAAUACGGGGGGGGCAAGCGUUAUCCGGAUUUACUGGGUGUAAAGGGGGCGCAGACGGCGAUGCAAGCCAGGAGGGAAAGCCCGGGGCCCAACCCCGGGACUGCUCUUGGAACUGCGUGGCUAGAGUGCAGGAGGGGCAGGCGGAAUUCCUGGUGUAGCGGUGAAAUGCGUAGAUAUCAGGAGGAACACCGGUGGCGAAGGCGGCCUGCUGGACUGCAACUGACGUUGAGGCCCGAAAGCGUGGGGAGCAAACAGGAUUAGAUACCCCGGUAGUC
rnacentral:rRNA from 1 species